rnacentral:rRNA from 1 species
AUUGAACGCUGGCGGCAUGCCUUACACAUGCAAGUCGAACGGUAACAGGUCUUCGGACGCUGACGAGUGGCGAACGGGUGAGUAAUACAUCGGAACGUGCCCAGUCGUGGGGGAUAACUACUCGAAAGAGUAGCUAAUACCGCAUACGAUCUGAGGAUGAAAGCGGGGGACCUUCGGGCCUCGCGCGAUUGGAGCGGCCGAUGGCAGAUUAGGUAGUUGGUGGGAUAAAAGCUUACCAAGCCGACGAUCUGUAGCUGGUCUGAGAGGGCGACCAGCCACACUGGGACUGAGACACGGCCCAGACUCCUACGGGAGGCAGCAGUGGGGAAUUUUGGACAAUGGGCGAAAGCCUGAUCCAGCAAUGCCGCGUGCAGGAUGAAGGCCUUCGGGUUGUAAACUGCUUUUGUACGGAACGAAAAGCUCCUUCUAAUACAGGGGGCCCAUGACGGUACCGUAAGAAUAAGCACCGGCUAACUACGUGCCAGCCGCCGCCGUAAGAC